rnacentral:lncRNA from 1 species
GGAGCAGGGGCCAGCGACCCACGUCUACAUGCAUACUUCUCUUACACUGCUGCUACUGGAAAAGCUGAACCCCGCGCCAGGACCCCAGCCCCCUGCAAGGACCCGUGAGCGUCUGGGAAGCUGUCUCUGGGACUGAAGCCCCCCACCUCCGCCGGGCUGGCGGCCACUGCGGUACCCUACGCCCCGUCGGGCUGGUCCUGCACAAUUUGGGAAAAAGCCGCAGCGCUUCUGCAAGGUCUACGUGGCCAUGAGCAUGCAACGCUUGGCUCCAAAAAAGACACGAAAGGAGCAAAGCGCCAACGACCACCCGAUCGGAGGGCCCGAGGGGCGCCUCUUCACCAGUCAGCUGCAGCUUAAGUUCCGUGCAUUAUCUGAAAGGAACAGCUGGCUGGAGGUAUCCAGGGCUGUCACUCCAACCUCUGCAGCAGUGACCUCAACUCCCAGCACUUCAAAACCCAGACAGAAACGUCCAACAAACUCCCAGUCCAGGAGCGCUGCAAAACCAACGCCAGUUGUUUUUCUGCAGAAAAUCAUCAACUGUGGAGAAGAAGAAGGGAAAUAAGAAAGAAAGAAAACCCUAAAAACCACCCUGGCGCCCGGGCCCGCAGGCCUCGGGCCGGCUCUGAAAAGUUUGGGCUGUGCACGUGAUGAGCGCGUAGGCGGGAGCCCCAGACAGGACCCGGGCGGGCAUUUCGAGAAAAAGCAGCGGUGACAGCCUUUGGUCCCCAUCUCCAUUGUUCCUGCCAGCUCUGGACCCCAGGCUGCAUGAGACGUAGGUCCCAGGGGACACCCGACCCCGUGGCCCCAGUCUUAGAGUUGGCCUGUUUCCUCUCAUCUCUGGCUCCAUGACUUCAAUCCUCCUGCAGCUUCCACUGCCCCUAUCUGGCUCAUGUCUUGCUGUCUGGUGUCAUGAACUGGGAGUGCAGUAAAGAGGAGUGACAAGCCUGAGGGGCCACGUUCAUACCUGCCACUGCCAACUGUCCUGAUGUAACUGCUUUGUCAUCUUGCCUGCCAGGAUUUGUGACAAGUCUAGUUUGGGGUCUCUAUAAUCCUGCUCCUUUGGCUGCCAGCCAUCUCCAUAAAAAAAGAAUUUGAAAGGCUUCCAUUCUUUCAGAGACCUGUUUCCCGGGACUGGCUGCAAGGGAGAGAUGCACUGACCUUCUGCCAGGUAUAGAACUAUUGAAUGGUACAGUUUGAGAUCUUCGAAACCAUCAGGACUGAUCAUUUUCUGGCUACUUUCUACAUAGGAAUCCUAGAGUUCCUUGGAGAGGAUAUGAAGGUUAUUCUCAGGCCAUGCAGAUGGGCAAGAAAGGAUGUGCGUCCAUGGUUCCUCUUCAAAUCCAACCAAAACAGCCUUGCUUCCGUUGGCUUUAUAUAAUACUGCAACUCUUGAUAAUCUGAUUUAACACAAAUUUCCUCAUUGAGUUUCUCCUCAUGAAGAAACGGCCUCAGUGAGGUAAAUCGGAAUGCACAGGAGCACAUAGCAGGUUUUAAAGGUUUUGACCUGAACAUGUAUUACCCGAACCAUGAG